GGCCCAGAGGUGCAUGGUGCGCACCCACUAUCUAUUUCCAUUGUCAUAAGUUAGUUCUUGUGGGAGGUUGCUCGUUCAACUCGAGCCUGGGCCA